rnacentral:rRNA from 1 species
GACGAACGCUGGCGGCGUGCUUAACACAUGCAAGUCGAACGGAAAGGCCUGCUUUCCCUUGUGGAUUGCGGGUACUCGAGUGGCGAACGGGUGAGUAACACGUGAGUGAUCUGCCCCCAACUUGGGUAUAAGCCUGGGAAACUGGGUCUAAUUCCCGAUAGGACUGCAGGGUGGUGCCUGUGGUGGAAAACGAUUUUCUAGUGGUUGGGGAUGAGCUCGCGGCCUAUCAGCUUGUUGGUGGGGUAAUGGCCUACCAAGGCGGCGACGGGUAGCCGGCCUGAGAGGGGGGACGGCAACAUUGGGACUGAGAUACGGCCCAGACUCCGACGGGAGGCAGCAGUGGGGAAUAUUGCACAAGGGGCGGAAGCCUGAUGCAGCGACGCCGCGUGGGGGAUGACGGCCUUCGGGUUGUAAACUCCUUUCGACCGCGAGGAAGCCACCUGGUUGGAAGGGUGGUGACGGUAGUGGUAGAAGAAGCACCGGCUAACUACGUG